UACAGAGGUCCCAAGCGUUGUUCGGAUUUAUUGGGCGUAAAGGGUGCGUAGGCGGCGGAGUAAGUUGGGUGUGAAAUCCCGGGGCUCAACCUCGGAAUUGCAUUCAAUACUGCUUCGCUUGAGCACUGGAGAGGAGGCUGGAAUUUACGGUGUAGCAGUGAAAUGCGUAGAUAUCGUAAGGAAGGCCGGUGGCGAAAGCGAGCCUCUGGAUAGUUGCUGACGCUGAUGCACGAAGGCCAGGGGAGCAAACGGG
rnacentral:rRNA from 1 species